rnacentral:misc_RNA from 1 species
GCAGAAGCUCCAAAAGACUUGGUGGAUGCCUCAAGCUGUGUAUUGACCAAUGAAAAACAGAGAGAGAGGCACUUUAAGAGCGAUUCUCAGGCCUGAAAAUGAAGUUAUAAUUUACUGCCACUGUAACCAUGGUGCAGUAAAUUGAGUUUGGACAAGUUUCCUCUGUUGCACAACCUUGUAUACUCUCAAGGGCCAUCGUGCUCUACUUGUUGUGAUGAAAAGCUUUAGGUAUUUAUGAUUUUUCAUCAUUGUAAAGCUGUGUAGUUAAGUGUGUUUAUUUGCAGGUGAGAUUAUUUCUCAGGCUGGUUGGCGGACACUCGAUGUUCUUACAUAAUGGACUCGGGCUGACAGGUCCGUGAUUGAAUUAUUAUACUAUACUAAAAGAGGACUCACUUUUAAUGUAGAUACCUCUUGGCCCCCCCCACUGGGCAAACAGAUCGU